AAUGAAUUCUUUAGUUCGCUGCAAAAACUGAAUCGUCUAAUGCGGUUAAAAAAAUAAAGCUGCAUCGCAUCUCCCAUUUGAACAAAAUAAGGAAUAAGCUAUUUCUCUUUAGAUAUGGCCUACGUAUAAUCAACUUAAAAUUACUUGUAAUAUAAAUCACUUAAAUGGGCUUGUUUUGAGAGAACGAGACGGGGAGAGAGUGUGAGAGAACGCGCGCGCGCGCGAGAGAGAGAGCGGUUACCAGGGUUACCAUGUAAACAAAGCAGAAGCGGCGAUUACAAACAGCGCUUUAUCGGGCAUGAGAUUAGACGGAAAGAAAAUGCAACCAAGACUUUUCUCAAGACAGUUCGAACGUAUUUGCUCCUUUUGCAGUCACGCUUCGUCCACAUUUCUUACAAACUGGAUAUCCAUCUUCAAGGACAACUUCGCGUUCGUUUUUCGGAUAAAAGUUAGAAUUUGUGGUCUCUGGCUCUGACAUUUUCUCUGCUGUACAUAAACGAGUGGAGUCUAGCAGUCACGUGGAAUGAAGUUGCAUAUGGGCUGCAGCGCAGGGCAUUGAGUUCAUCAUGGUCAGCCUGGUGUGAUGCUUCUAUAUUGUGACAUCAUAAUGGCCACUCUUAAGUCACCGCCUGUGGAACAGCAGCAGUCGUUUAUGUGUUCCAGUUGAAUUUUGCUCUUGACACUGCUGGAUUUCUCAUCCAAAAGGAAUGAGAUACUGACUGUUGAGGUUUGUUUGACUAUCAUUAUAAAGUGCAGAUAAGUACAGGUAAGUGUUGUCCAGGUAAGUGGUCUUGAAAAUAUGGGCAGUUUUAUAGUCGUACAAGUAAUUUAUGAAUGGUAAAAAUAAACAACAAGCAUUAGUGCAAACACACACCGAAGCCCUUGUGAGACCCAUUAAUAGUUAAAGUUUAUUAGUUUGAUUAAAAAGUGGUUACAGUUUACAGUUUAGGGUAAAUAAAAAACAUUCAGCCCUUGAAAGGGAGAGUUACAACAGUGAGUUUAAAGUGCUUGAGGAUCACGGGAUUCAUGUUACCUUCAGAUAGUUUCGGAAAAUAGCAGGCCACUCAAAUACACACAAUUAGAGGCAAAGAACUUCAAUUUUUGGAUCAAUAAAUGCAUUGAUAAUACAUUGACAAUAUCUAUAUAACACACUGAUAUGUUUAUGUAGUAGCUUUUUUAUGUAGACUCAUCAAUGGUUUAAAAAUAGCAAAUAUUGGAGGAUUAGAGUGGUUAACUAAUGGCACCUUGUUACUUUAUUUACACCCUCACUAACUUUAAAGCUUUAAAAUCUAUCACAUUGUCUGAGUAUGUAUAACGUUUGUGCAUUUUAUAAUUAAAUAAAAAAAAUGUACAGUUUUAAUUUAGGUAAUUCUCAGCAGAA